rnacentral:rRNA from 1 species
GACGAACCGUGCGAACGUUGUUCGGAUUCACUGGGCUUAAAGGGCGCGUAGGCGGGUUACCAAGUCAGGGGUGAAAUCUUUCGGCUCAACCGGAAAAGUGCCCCUGAUACUGGUAGUCUUGAGGGAGGUAGGGGCAUGUGGAACUUCCGGUGGAGCGGUGAAAUGCGUAGAUAUCGGAAGGAACGCCGGUGGCGAAAGCGACGUGCUGGUCCUCUUCUGACGCUGAGGCGCGAAAGCCAGGGGAGCGAACGGGG